UUGAGAUGCUUCCUCAGAAUGCCACUUGCGUCAUUUCAGAAGCACUGGUUUCAUGAAUAGAUUCCCCCUGAGGUGGGUUCCGUUUGUGACGGCGCGAUGGAUGGCACAGACUUACACACAAAGGAAGAAAAAAGGCUUCCGAGGAACGCGUACCAGCUCCAAUGUGAACAGAUUCCUUAUUCUGCAUUUGGAAUCAUGCUGCUUUACUAAAUGCAAAUUUCAAAAUCUUUCUGAAUUAACUUAGAUCUCAGCUUUGCUGAUCUUUUGAACAUGUGUCCUCUAGUACACAUUUUUCCUUGCUUGAAUUUUCCAGCAGAAACGGGUUAUGCCCC
rnacentral:lncRNA from 12 species